UUAUUUUUCUUUUGUUCUGUUUUAUUCUUUUUAUAUAAUAUAAUAAUCUAACCUUUUAGGGUUUUGAAUUUUUCUACCUUGUUUACAGGGAUUUGAUGUUCCCGAGUUUGGAUGUGCAUUAGCUGGCGGAAUUAGACCCAUUAAGUUGAAUAAAAAAUUUGACGAACUCGUGAGCAAUUUUGCUAAGCAAGCCUUGCAAGUCUACAAUAACCAAAAUAAUGCGAAGUUUGAGUUUGAUCAUCUUGUCAAGGCUAAUUGCCAAGCUGUUGCCGGCAUUAUGUAUUACAUUACUUUUACUGCACGCUCUGGGGAUAAUGGGCUUCAAACCUUUUGCGGCAAAGUAUGGCAAAAAGUAAUGAAAAAGGGAACAGAAGUUAAGUUUUGUGUGAUGGCAACUGUUAAUCAGGAAGCUGGUACAGAUCAGGUGUCAGUCGCGGAGACGAGUCUAGGACCCUGUUCUAGUUGUGUUUGAUGGGUCCUUCCUUCAGGAAGGAAAACUCUCUAAUACUUAUGAAAGAGUCUAACUCCCUGUUCUAGUUGUGUUUAUGGUUUGCUCCUUCAAGAAGGAAAAAACUCUGAUGCUAUUAUAUAAUUUUCAUACUCAUGAAAUAGAGUCUAGGUCAUGUUCUAGUUGUGUUUUAUGGUUUGCUCUUUCAAGAAUGAAAACAAUCUAAAGAUGCCAUUAUAUAAUGUUAAUACUUAUGAAACAGAUUAUAGGUCCCU